rnacentral:lncRNA from 1 species
AAACAGUGGACUUGAGAGCAAGAGGAGAUGCUGAUCGAGUUCCUUCUGCAGAUAAAACAGUUUCUACUCUAGAGUCUAUGGGAGUAAAAAUCUUUGGUAUAAAUGCGUCCAAUAGUGGUAAUCCAAAAGCUGAUAUCGCCUGGGAUAAUAUUGCUGGAUAUAGUUUGCAGAAACGGCAAUCCAAUAGUGGUAAUCCAAAAGCUGAUAUUGCCUGGGAUAAUAUUGCUGGAUAUAGUUUGCAGAAACGGUAAGUGACUCUGAUUUUUUGAGUCAUCACAUUAGUGCAUUUUGGUUCUGCAACUGUAGUUCAAGAUGAAUUAUUUAUCUUGCUCCGAAUUAGCAAACUUUUAAACUGGAGAUAAAAACUUGGUGUUUGUUUUGGUCUUUCUUUUCCCUGAAAGUUAGACAAUAUGGAUUAUCUAGACAAUGGAGAUGAAGGGUGGGAGGAAGGUAAGUAAAAGAGAAAUAUCGGCUAUUUCCCUUGUUUGACAAGGGAAGACCAUUUAGGGGCAUUUGUCCUGAAAUUCUUUUAGAAAUCAUGCAAAAAGUUUUUCUAACGAUGAGUUUGUUAUAGUUUUUCAUGAUUUUUUUGAAAAACACUUUGUAAAUGUCUUUUUCCAUAUAGUUCUCUUUAGGGUGUUUUUCAAGAAAAGGUCUUUUUCCACCCGCAAAUACUCAGAAAUCUUCAAUAAAACUAUGGCUAUCCAAUACGUUUUCUUUCUGUACAAACUUUUUCCCACUUUCACAACUUUGCCAAAAGGUUGUCCAAAUGGCUACUUUACUUCCCCUUCCUUGCCCUAUUCAUCCCUUUGAUAAGUAGGAAAACAACAACAACAACAACAACAACUACCCAGUAUACUCCCACCAGGUGGGGUCUGGGGAGGGUAAUAUGUAGGCAGUCUUACCCCUACCCAAAAGGGCAGAGAGGCUGCUUCCAUGCGACCCUCGGCGCAUAGGACAGAAUGAAAAUUGAUAAGUAGGAAACAUGAUCUAAAAUAACAAGCGAGAAUUCACACAAUUAUUUGAUCAUACGAGAACUCUUAAAUGACAAGCUAGAAUGUUUGAAAGUUUUCAAAUUGAGUAUAAUGGCCCUUUGUCAAGCUUUAGAUGGAUCUUCACAUGGACAAUAGGUGCAUGUGAUCUUCCAAGUCAGUGAUAUCAAAAUACUAGUAACGUGAGUAAAAAGCUUUUCUUUCUUAAGGUUGUAUUUUUGACAAAAUAUGUGUUUCUAAAUCUAAUGUGACAAAUCCUUCCUCUAAUCUAGAUAUUUGUUGCCUAAAUCAAUUGCUUUGUCUAAUAAAAUCAUACCCUAACAUUUGCAGUACUAGACAUGCAUAGUUAGUUUGGAUUAAUUUAAUUCACGAAAAAAACUGUAGAGUUGCAUGUAGUUGUUUCAACAAUAGCAUAUUUGAAAUGUUCUCAAAAGAGUAAUAGUAUAUUUGAAAUCAUGUAAGCGUCUAAGUGACUUUGACUUCAAUACUAGUAUAUAAUUUAUUGGUGAAUGUCCAUGUGCCAAGAAUAGUACAAGUUUACUGGUGAAUGUACGUUUCGUAGAGCAUAUUACAAGUUUACUGGCGAAUGUAGCAAUUUCGUCAAGAAUAGUAUCUACAUUGUCUUGAAGUGUCACCUUUUGUUACAACAACAACAACAACCCAGUAUAAUCCCACUUAGUGGAGUU